UUUAUUCCUGAUGCGGCACCAGCCAUUACGGUGCAAUUUACAGGCCCUCUGCAACCCCAAGCCCACGGCCAAGGCGCUGGUCCGAAGCUGUCAAGUUGCUUAGUUUGAAGACUUUACCAUGAGCUUUGCAAAUACUCUCGGAUGGAGCUUGGUGACUACUGUGUAUAUUUCACCUGCAUUUCUCUCCGCUACCUAAUCCUAUUUCAAGGGACCUCUGUAACAACACUGAAGGCUUCCUGAAGGGUUAUUUCACCCCCAGGUCCUUUCUUACACUGAGUAGUAUUUCAGCUGUGUCAUGCAAACCCGGAGAAGUCCUGCCGAGAUUUCGGGAAUACUUGGAUCGUCACUAAUGGUCAACAACCAGCCCACUGUGGUCCUGAAAUCCUGAGAUGCACCCUCAGAUCUGUGAUGGAUGUUUACAACUCUCCAGAUGUGUCUUCAAUAACUGCAGAAAUGCCUGAGCACGUGGCUGUUGCUUGUGCAACGUGAGAUGUGCCUGACUGUGUGUCAUUAUUUAUUAUUGUUCUGGUGACAUUUACUCUUUUGGAGGACUUGUUGUCCUGUUCUAAGAAAUAAUCAUUUGAGUAUGGAUUUUUUUUUCAAAAUAAGUAGUUUAAACCCUCCUUUCCCUGAGGUUUGGAGCAAGGCAGCAUCUGGGAACAUAUGGUUACAGCUUCCUGAAAAAUAAACUGUCCUUCCUUAUUUUGUUAA